CCUACGGGAGGCAGCAGUGGGGAAUAUUGCACAAUGGGGGAAACCCUGAUGCAGCGACGCCGCGUGAGUGAAGAAGUAAUUCGUUACGUAAAGCUCUAUCAGCAGGGAAGAAACACUGACCUUACGGUCAGCAGACGGUACCUGAGUAAGAAGCCCCGGCUAACUACGUGCCAGCAGCCGCGGUAAUACGUAGGGGGCAAGCGUUAUCCGGAUUUACUGGGUGUAAAGGGAGCGUAGACGGUGCGCCAAGUCUGGAGGGAAAUGCCGCAGCUUAACUUGGGAACGGCUUUGGAAACUGGCGAACUAGAGGGCGGGAGGGGGAAGCGGAAUUCCUAGUGUAGCGGUGAAAUGCGUAGAGAUUAGGAGGAACACCGGUGGCGAAGGCGGCUUACUGGACCGUAACUGACGUUGAGGCUCGAAAGCGUGGGGAGCAAACAGGAUUAGAUACCCCGGUAGUC
rnacentral:rRNA from 1 species